AACGAACCGUGCGAACGUUAUUCGGAAUCAUUGGGCUUAAAGGGCGCGUAGGCGGGUCGGUACGUCGGUCGCUGAAAUCCCCCGGCUUAACCGGGGACGUGGCACCGAUACGGCCGACCUGGAGGCGAGGAGGGGGACCUGGAACGUCCGGUGGAGCGGUGAAAUGCGUUGAGAUCGGACGGAACGCCGACGGCGAAAGCAAGGUCCUGGACUCGUACUGACGCUGAGGCGCGAAAGCCAGGGGAGCGAACGGG
rnacentral:rRNA from 1 species